rnacentral:sRNA from 1 species
AUUGUGUGCUGAAAUUGCGUACAGGGUGAAUUAAUCGUAUAGUUUCACUGUUGACGUAACACAGUGUGCUUUGCGGCUACCACCCGCAAUACUCUGGCUUAAAACCUCGCUCCGGCGGGGUUUUUU